UACAGAGGGUGCAAGCGUUAAUCGGAUUUACUGGGCGUAAAGCGUGCGUAGGCGGUUCGUUAAGUCGAUUGUGAAAGCCCUGGGCUUAACCUGGGAAUUGCAGUCGAUACUGGCGGACUAGAGAACGGUAGAGGGAGGCGGAACUCCAGGUGGAGCGGUGACAUGCGUAGCUCUCUGGAAGAAAACCGAGGGCGAAGGCAACCUCAUGUGCCUGUUCUGACUCUGAGGCACGAAAUCGUGGGUAGCCAACAGGAUUAGAUACCCCCGUAGUCC
rnacentral:rRNA from 1 species